UGUUAGGCUUGACCGGGGAGCUUGGCGUGCCCUGUACCUGCAAUCGUCACAGCAGGGGCGACUGAGAGGGGCGGCGAAGCGGAAGCGGUAGGCCCACAAAGCGACUAUGAGACUUUGUCCUACAGAGUCGGAGUACCCAAUUGGACUGACCGGAGGGCCGGUUCGGUUGGGCUAAUCGGGGAGAACGGGUCAGGCCCUGACGGGAGCAGCCUCACUCCGAACUACUGACGUUUGCGGGGAAGCAGAGUUGAGGAACGAUGUGGCUAACCUAUCUGUGGAUGCGACGUCCACCUUCUUGAGCCUAACA
rfam:Candidatus Methanomethylophilus alvus Mx1201, complete genome.